rnacentral:lncRNA from 1 species
GUGAACCCUGAAAUGUAGUCUCCUCUUAAAGUUAUCAGCAGGAAUCAGGGUAGGAUUCCUUCUGGGAUUCUCCAUUCUCCAUUCUCCAGGGCUUAUUCUUGAGCUAACUGUAAUUUUGCAUCUUGAGCAUGAUGACGUUGUGUGUGUUGCUAAGAUGCCUGGAUCUCCCACUCACCAAAAUCUUCUUCAAUCAGACUCUCUUUCUUGGAUUUCAUGGGUGGAAAGACCCUGGCCAGCUCCCUGGGGUGGUUCAUCACACCCAAGUCUUUCCUGAUGAACUUGCCUCAAGUCUUUGAAGACACAUUUAACACAUCACAUCACCCUUGUUAUACUGUGCUAAUGCUUGACUGCUGAGAAAUCUUGAUGCUGGAUGAUCUCACAUUCUACUUUCUUCAAGAAUCUUCACAAACUUAAACAAUUGGGAAUGGGUGUGUGUGUGUGUGUGUGUGUGUGUGUGUGUGUGUGUGUGUGUCUAUGUAUGUCCUUUCUUCCUCUGGCAAUCAUGAGCCUAUUUCCCAGAGCCCAUUGAAGUACCUACUACAUUCCCAUAGUAACUAUAUUUCCAGAAUGUUCCUGGUCCAAAUCAGAUUUGAGAUUGCCUCUGGUUCAUCCCUACACGGCUCCUGCCUUUGGUAGAGGUGCUCUGGGCAAUAUGAUGCUCAACAAAUAUUAUCUCCCUAUGCCUAAAGCCCAAAAUCACCACUGCCAUUCUAAGUUGUCAAUAUAACAUGUAAGAAACAUUCAUUAAAUGUUGUAAGUUGAAAGUGUUUAUUUACCUCCACUGUGUGCCAAAUGCCACAAAAUUUAUAGUAUGGAGAAAAAAUACAUAAAUCCUUG